rnacentral:rRNA from 1 species
AUUGAACGCUGGCGGCAGGCCUAACACAUGCAAGUCGAGCGGAUGAGAAGAGCUUGCUCUUCGAUUCAGCGGCGGACGGGUGAGUAAUGCCUAGGAAUCUGCCUGGUAGUGGGGGACAACGUUUCGAAAGGAACGCUAAUACCGCAUACGUCCUACGGGAGAAAGCAGGGGACCUUCGGGCCUUGCGCUAUCAGAUGAGCCUAGGUCGGAUUAGCUAGUUGGUGGGUAAAGGCUCACCAAGGCGACGAUCCGUAACUGGUCUGAGAGGAUGAUCAGUCACAAAGGAACUAAGACACGGUACAGACUCCUACGGGAGGCAGCAGUGGGGACUAUUGGACAAGGGGCGAAAGCCUUGGCCAACCAUGCCGGGUGUGCGAAGAAGGUCAUCGGAAUGUAAAGCACUUUCAGUUGGGAGGAAGCGCAUUAACCUAAUACGUUCGUGUUUUGACGCUACCGACAGAACGAGCACCGACUCACUCUGU